UAAAGUGCUGACAGUGCAGA
rnacentral:ncRNA from 2 species